CCGGAAACUCCGCCACCCACGCGUCCCAGCGGCCUGAACAGGUCCAAAGUGGCCGUCAAGGAAAACCAACCGCCCGCGGCCCGCACGCGGGGCUGGAGCAGAAGGGCGCGGGCUCGGGCCACCGCGGGGUCCCUGCCCGAGGGGACCGUCUGCUGCGGGCGCGGCGCACAGGGGCAGGGGCGAACGCGAGGAGGCUCACUCACCACCAGAUCGGGUAGCUGCCCAGAGCCUGCUUCAGGCUGCAGAGGAGUAAGAAGUAUCCGAGUGGGGCCAUCGCCGCGCGAGAGGGCGCGGAGGGCCGGGAGUCCGCCCCGAGAGCGGAAGAGAACAGUGGAAGCCCCUGACGCGAUGGGACGGUGGGGAAGCGCAGUGCUGCCCCCAGGUUCUGGGACCACCAACCUCCAGGUCUGCCCAGAGCUAUGCAGCCUGUUCCGACAGAGGGAUUUCUGACUGUUUAGUUAAGCUUUAGGAGUUUGCUGAUGGAGAGGGGAAGACCUGAGAGGGAAAGUGACUUGCCCAAGGUCACCCAGUGACCAGUCAACUCUCCAGCUCCCAGUCAUUUGCAUAUCCAUGUGUUGCCCCGGGAGCCGCCUGGGGAGAUUGUAAUUUGCAGAGGGGAAGUGUCCCCAGCCUCCCCCGGGGGACCUGAUAACUGGGAUGGUUAAGAGGCACUCUCCCAUCGCGGCUGGUCCUCCUGCAGUCACACUGUGACCUAAGCUCAGCAGGAAUCUUGGUUACCGCGUUGGAAUUGAGGAAGGAGGCUCCGGGAGCUUCUGAGAGCUCCAAGCAACUCCAGACUCAUCCGUGGUGUGUUCUCUGGGGAUACUGCACUGCCCAGCCUGUGGGCUAGGCCUCCUGUGCGGCUGCAGAGUUGCGGGAGGGAGGUGCAUGGAGAGGCAGGGAUGGGCAUGUGGCCGCUUCUGUGCAGCUUCUCAGGGAGGGGGUGGCUGAGAUGUCCCCAGGUGUGUCACUGGCUGGCUGAUGGAGGCAGCUGCUUCCCACAGUGUGCCCCACUCACAACUUGGUUCUGCGUUUGCAGAGGGAGCCUGUGGUCCUGUGGACACCGGCCCUAGGGGUCACCUGGUGACUAUGUCAGGAGUCCUGAAUUCAGAGUGACAGCCUUUCUCUUUGAAAAAAAGUUCCCUUUGCUCCUCACUACCUUGGGAAUCCAGUUUCCGCUACGCAUGCCCGGCCGCCCACCCGCUUCUCCCAGGCACUGCGGGGCCCCCACCCUCAGAGGGAAAGAGGGAAGAGCUCUGGAAUGAAGCGGCGGUGGGGUCAGGGAGGGGGAGGGGAGGAGCGUGUUUGUGCUCCUCUGGACUUGGCCUUGCAGCAAAAAUCCCACCCAAUUGUGGUACUGGGGAAAACCUGGGCUGCAGGUGGGGUGGGCGCCUGAGCCCAGCCUGAGGCACGCAGACUCUUGUUACCCCCACCUCCCCAGAAAUGAGGCUCGGGGAUUAGAGCCCCCUAGAGGAUGCCAGCUCUGCCCACCGACAGGAUGGGCCUCGUGACCUCACUGAAGGGGGCAGGUGAGCGCAGCCUGCUCAGUCCUGCCCUCUUGCCCCUUGGUUUCCCAAGCCCCUCCUCCUGGCUGCUUUCUUCUCCCCCAUCAGGCCCCAUCCUCUGCCCGUGCCACCUGGGUAGUACACACACUGAGAUCCGGCCGCUUCCCAGGCUGCAGAAGAUGAAGGGAGGAGCAGACUCCGAGGCCCCAGGCAGGAGCUCAGCCUGCCCAGGCCAGGCUCUCAAGCGAGGGCUCCUGUUUCUGAAGACUCUGGAUACCAGGGAGCCAGGCCACUCAAUAUGAAGGCCACUAGGAUGAAGACCUUUAUGAGGACCCACUGCCG
rnacentral:lncRNA from 1 species